UACGGGGGGGGCAAGCGUUGUCCGGAAUUACUGGGCGUAAAGGGCUCGUAGGCGGUCAACUAAGUCAGAUGUGAAAUCCCUCGGCUUAACCGGGGAACUGCAUCUGAUACUGGAUGGCUUGAGUUCGGGAGAGGGAUGCGGAAUUCCAGGUGUAGCGGUGAAAUGCGUAGAUAUCUGGAGGAACACCGAUGGCGAAGGCGGCAUCCUGGACCGACACUGACGCUGAGGAGCGAAAGCCAGGGGAGCAAACAGG
rnacentral:rRNA from 1 species